rnacentral:rRNA from 1 species
AUUGAACGCUGGCGGCAGGCUUAACACAUGCAAGUCGAACGAGAGGCGGACGGGUGAGUAAUGUAUGGGAAACUGCCUGAUGGAGGGGGAUAACUACUGGAAACGGUAGCUAAUACCGCAUACCAUCAGAUGUGCCCAGAUGGGAUUAGCUUGGAGGUGGGGUAACGGCUCACGUAGGCGACGAUCCCUAGCUGGUCUGGGUGGAUGAACAGCCACAAUGGAAAUGAGACACGGUCCAGACUCGUAUGGGAGGCAGCAGUGGGGAAUAUUGCACAAUGGGCGCAAGCCUGAUGAAGACAUGCCGCGUGUGUGAAGAAGGCCUUCGGGUUGUAAAGUACUUUCAGCGAGGAGGCGUUACUCGCAGAAGAAGCACCGGCUAACUCCGUGCCAGCAGCCGCGGUAAUUC